rnacentral:rRNA from 1 species
GACGAACGCUGGCGGCGUGCUUAACACAUGCAAGUCGAACGGAAAGGCCUGUCCUUCCUUGUGUUGGACGGGUACUCGAGUGGCGAACGGGUGAGUAACACGUGAGUGAUCUGCCCCCAACUUGGGUAUAAGCCUGGGAAACUGGGUCUAAUUCCCGAUAGGACUGCAGGGUGGUGCCUGUGGUGGAAAACGAUUUUCUAGUGGUUGGAGAUGAGCUCGCGGCCUAUCAGCUUGUUGGUGGGGUAAUGGCCUACCAAGGCGGCGACGGGUAGCCGGCCUGAGAGGGUGGACGGCCACAUUGGGACUGAGAUACGGCCCAGACUCCUACGGGAGGCAGCAGUGGGGAAUAUUGCACAAUGGGCGGAAGCCUGAUGCAGCGACGCCGCGUGGGGGAUGACGGCCUUCGGGUUGUAAACUCCUUUCGACCGCGAGGAAGCCGCCUGGUUGGAAGGGUGGUGACGGUAGUGGUAGAAGAAGCACCGGCUAACUACGUG